UACACUCCUGCGGGAGGCAGCAGUGGGGAAUAUUGGACAAUGGGCGAAAGCCUGAUCCAGCAAUGCCGCGUGAGUGAUGAAGGCCUUAGGGUUGUAAAGCUCUUUUACCCGGGAUGAUAAUGACAGUACCGGGAGAAUAAGCCCCGGCUAACUCCGUGCCAGCAGCCGCGGUAAUACGGAGGGGGCUAGCGUUGUUCGGAAUUACUGGGCGUAAAGCGCGCGUAGGCGGCUUUGUAAGUUAGAGGUGAAAGCCCGGAGCUCAACUUCGGAAUUGCCUUUAAGACUGCAUCGCUAGAAUCGUGGAGAGGUGAGUGGAAUUCCGAGUGUAGAGGUGAAACUCGUAGAUAUUCGGAAGAACACCAGUGGCGAAGGCGACUCACUGGACACGUAUUGACGCUGAGGUGCGAAAGCGUGGGGAGCAAACAGGAUUAGAUACCCGUGUAGUCCCAUG
rnacentral:rRNA from 1 species